rnacentral:rRNA from 1 species
AGAGUUUGAUCCUGGCUCAGGAUGAACGCUGGCGGCGUGCCUAAUACAUGCAAGUCGAACGAAACUUCUUUAUCACCGAGUGCUUGCACUCACCGAUAAAGAGUUGAGUGGCGAACGGGUGAGUAACACGUGGGCAACCUGCCCAAAAGAGGGGGAUAACACUUGGAAACAGGUGCUAAUACCGCAUAACCAUAGUUACCGCAUGGUAACUAUGUAAAAGGUGGCUAUGCUACCGCUUUUGGAUGGGCCCGCGGCGCAUUAGCUAGUUGGUGAGGUAAAGGCUUACCAAGGCAAUGAUGCGUAGCCGAACUGAGAGGUUGAUCGGCCACAUUGGGACUGAGACACGGCCCAGACUCCUACGGGAGGCAGCAGUGGGGAAUCUUCCGCAAUGGACGAAAGUCUGACGGAGCAACGCCGCGUGAACGAUGACGGCCUUCGGGUUGUAAAGUUCUGUUAUACGGGACGAAUGGUACGACGGUCAAUACCCGUCGUAAGUGACGGUACCGUAAGAGAAAGCCACGGCUAACUACGUGCCAGCAGCCGCGGUAAUACGGAAGGUCCAGGCGUUAUCCGGAUUUAUUGGGUUUAAAGGGAGCGCAGGCGGACUCUUAAGUCAGUUGUGAAAUACGGCGGCUCAACCGUCGGACUGCAGUUGAUACUGGGAGUCUUGAGUGCACACAGGGAUGCUGGAAUUCAUGGUGUAGCGGUGAAAUGCUCAGAUAUCAUGAAGAACUCCGAUCGCGAAGGCAGGUAUCCGGGGUGCAACUGACGCUGAGGCUCGAAAGUGCGGGUAUCAAACAGGAUUAGAUACCCUGGUAGUCCGCACAGUAAACGAUGAAUACUCGCGGUUGGCGAUACACAGUCAGCCGCCAAGCGAAAGCGUUAAGUAUUCCACCUGGGGAGUACGCCGGCAACGGUGAAACUCAAAGGAAUUGACGGGGG